UACGAAGGGGGCUAGCGUUGCUCGGAAUUACUGGGCGUAAAGCGCACGUAGGCGGAUCUUUAAGUCAGGGGUGAAAUCCUGGAGCUCAACUCCAGAACUGCCUUUGAUACUGAGGACCUUGAGUUCGGGAGAGGUGAGUGGAACUGCGAGUGUAGAGGUGAAAUUCGUAGAUAUUCGCAAGAACACCAGUGGCGAAGGCGGCUCACUGGCCCGAUACUGACGCUCAGGCGCGACAGCGUGGGGAUCAAACAGG
rnacentral:rRNA from 1 species